ensembl:snoRNA SNORA73 Small nucleolar RNA SNORA73 family
CCAACUUGGAUAUCCCUGAGGUCAUUCUCCCUGGGCUCUGUCCAGGUGGCCUAGGGGAGCACAGGGCUCUGCCCCUUGAGCUACAGUCCCUUUCCACAACAUUGGAGAAGAAUCUGGGUUUUGUGUCUGUGCCUGCAUAUUCCUACAACUUCUCAGAGUCCUUUGAGCAAUGACUGAGGAGAUGAGCCAUGCAGUAAACAGAC